rnacentral:lncRNA from 1 species
CAACUAUUGAGAAUCGUCCAAACUUUUUGCUAUUUGCAAUAUAUAUAUGUAGAGUUGAGCUGGAAUGCUAUCGGUAGCAAACGGGCUCCGUUGCCAUCCAUUUUUUUUCGAUGAUGGAGCCUCUAAAUCGACGAUCGGCACCGUUGAAAAUGAUCUAUACCACUUGAAGUAUCUAGAAAUCAAAUUUCAUACUUUUCCGAUAUUGUUUUCUUGUCCAUCAAGUGGGCGUAAAAAUGAAUGGCUGAAAAUGAAUAUCUUCUAAAAAGUGAUGAUAGAAAUUUUGUAAUCAUGAUCGAGAGUAUAGAUCUUGUUCUAAAUAGUUUAAAGAAUUUUCUAACCAAAAUUCAAUUGAUUUGAAUAGCUUUACACCGUUAAACAAGAAGACCUCUCAUAUCAACCAUUAAAAUUACUAAUUUUGAAACCCUUUGAUCANCCUGGUCUACUUUGUAAUCCAUAGACCGACUAUUUUCCACUUUCUAUUUUAUCUCUACUUCCUAAUUUCCUUCAAUAAUAGCUUUUAGAUUUUAAAACGAAAUUCAAAAUAGUUAUUUAAACCUUAAAAAAAUUAUUUUACUGUACAACAUAACUAAUAUUUAAUUAGGAUUUAUUUAUAUUAAAUGCUCAAUAGUACUUUUAAAAAAAUUUACAGUAUAAUAUUUGUAGGCAAAUAAAAUGUUCUCUAGAAAAUUUCAUAUAUUUUCAUUAUAAAAAUUAUAAAUUUUAAAGAGAAGGCAAAAUGAUAACCUACAAUUUAAAUAUGCUUCGUAUGGUUUAAUCUGCGUGAAAUAAACACUAACUAACAAAUUCCCUUGUUUUGAAAUUUUAAAAUUAUUUUUACCGUAUAAUAAAUAGCAUCCAUGCAUGGGUGGUCUACGGAUGACGUCGUGGACCCAGUCCAGCUAAUUAUUUCCCGAUAUGAAGGGAUUUGUUAUGGUAUGUCACGGCCCAUUACACCGACAUGUGGAACCCACGUUGUGGGACCCAGUGGUCAGUGUAAGAAGAGUGAUAUAUCACCGUUACACCGAGAAUCACCUCCACCUCCUCCUCCUCCUCCUUUGUCCUCUUGCGUGUGGCGGCGUGUUCUCUCACGUGUUCGAUUUGAUAUGGGUGUUUGAUUGCACAAUUAUUGAGGCACGAGGUGUUACAGAAAUUAUUUCCACAGCAUAUAAUUUCGUGCCACGUGUCCUUUUUAAGUUUGACUUAAACUAUACCCCACGUGGCGAUUAUUGUGUGAUUUAGCUAUAAGUGGAUCAAUUAAAAAGGACCUAAACCCUAAACCCUAAUCCAUGCGAUGUGACGGAAUGAUAAUUAGAAAAAAAAUAGAAAAUGCCGACAAAAAAAGAGAAAAUAUUGAUGGAAAAAGCGACGAUAAGGAACAUGAUUCAUCUUGCUGAUGAAGACAGGUAUCAAUCGUCGGAAGUGAAAAAUGAACAGUUUAGCCUAAUGCAAAGGUGUGACCCGAUUUUCGUUCAAGCAAAAAAAGGAAAAACUAAUUUGGUUCAAGCAAAAAAAGAGAAAAAUUCGAUUCGGUUCAAUGAAAAAAAGAGAAAAAUAUUCGAAGGACUUGAAUCGGUUCAAGGUGGAACCCAUACCCAACAAUGAAGGAAACGUUGUCAUGUGACAAAUUAGGGAGAAUAAUGUAUAGAUAUAGAAGAUUUGCAUGUUGUUACAAGAUUAAUUAGAAAAUUACAUGACUAUUCCUACAAAAAUUUUAAAUAUACACUUACACUUAUCAAAUUAUUCAAUCUCAAAUAUGUCGCUAAUAAAUUGCGUGAUUUUUUUUUUUUUUGAGAUUAUUAUCAAAACUAUUCUAUUCUAUUUUCUUAUUUUUUCAGUCUCCUUACCAAGCAAAUUAUGGAGUCUAUCUAUGAGCUAAAAGCAUGUUUGUUCUACUGAAUCUCUGACAUGAAAGCCCUUCACCUCAUAAACACUUGGCGCAUAUAUUUGGACGAAAACGACGAACUUAGAGAUGGGACGUGGGGAGUUGUUGGAAAUUCUUUGAUCGGCGCAGAUCCCGACUUCUUAUACAGAGUGGAAGUUUAACUUCUGUCACUUAUCAAGAUAAAGUUGAGAUUGGACAUUUUGCCAAAACUCGCAAUCUUUAGCGUCUAGCGAUCGAUGAUAUUUUAUUUUUUUCUGCUAAUUUAUAGACUCCAACUAUUGAGUAUCGUCCAAACUUUUUGCUAUUUGCAAUAAUGAUAUAUAUAUAUAUAUAUAUAUAUAUAUAUAUAAUAAUGAUAUAUAUAUAUAUAUAUAUAUAUAUAUAUAUAUAUAUAUAUAUAUAUAUAUAUAUAUAUAUAUAUAUAGAGUUCAGCUACUAUGCUAUUAAUAGCACAAAGCAUUUGGUGCUACCAAGUUUUUCGCCGUUAGAUCUGCCAUUGUGAUCACUUUCACCCAUUAGAUCAUACUAUUCAACCAACCACCCACUCAACCCUAGGGGGCCUACAUCAUCCUGAUCACACAUCUCUUAAUCUAAUAGCCAAAAACUUGGUAGCACCAAUAACUUGGUGCUAUUAAUAUAUGGAUGUUAUACAUUAUUGCCACCGAUAUUUAUUAUAUCGAAAUGCAAAAAAAAUUAUAAUAAUAAAAAUUCAGGACUAAAUGACUAUAUGAAAAAAAUAGUAAUCAUUGAAAUCAUAUUAAUAUACUUGUACGAACUUCAAAAAUUUUUUGAAAAAAAUCUAGUUAUUAUUUUUAAAUUUUGCAGGACUAAAUUUGAUUUACUAAGUUUGUUAGGAAUACGUAACUAUAUAAUUUAAAGAAAUAUAUAUUUUUAACAUUCUAAAAUAAUUAUUAGCUAAUAUAUAUAUAGAGAGAGAGAGAGAGUUUAGCUACUAUAUAUCCUCUUAAGUAGAUAGAAGUCUUUUUCCUAUCAAGUCAUUUUGAAUGAUUAACACUUCAAAUUGAUAAUCGACACCAUUGAAAUUGAUCUACACUAUAAAAAAUAUUUAGAUACCAAAUUUUGUAAUAUUUAAAAAUUAUUAUUAAGUCCAUCGAAGAGUUGAAAAAUAAACGGUCAUAAAUGAAUAACCUUCUUAAAAUAGAGGUUAGACUUUCUCAAGUCAUAAUCAAAAUUAUCUUUUUUUGAGAAAAAGAUAGUAAGUUAUCCGCUUCAUUUAUUAAGAAAAAAUGAAUUUGGCAGCAGUGGUGAAGGCAAUCAAGGCCUCUGAAAAAUAAAAAUAAAAAUAAAAAUAAAAGUAAAAUAAAAUAAAAUGCAAAUGCAAAAGAAAGAGAAAGAAUAAGGCAAUAUCCACUCAACGAAGCACCUCCCACGAGCUCAAAAGUUGACUAAUACUCUGAAGCAGGGAAGCCGGGUUGCUAUCCUUGUCUCGGAAGAUUAUAUUAUUCCGUUCAAUCCAGAUCGACCACCAUAGAGCAGAUAGAAGUGUAACUCCUUUGAGACGCAUCUGCUUCUCUUGGAGAUCUAGAAGCUCUGUCCACAUUCCUCUGCUGUCCAACGAAGCUUGGAAGUUUGGGAGCCCGUCAUUUAAACAAAAGAUCAAAUAUCUAACGAACACGCAUCCAGAGAACAGAUGAUCACAUGUUUCAAGUUCAUUAGCACAGAACACGCAUAGUUGUUCGUCUAUCCAACCGCGUUUAUGGAGAAUGUCUGCAGUGAGGACUCUUUUUCUUAGCACCAGCCAAACAAAGACUUUGAUUUUAAGUGGCAUUUUAAGCUUCCAAAUUCGAAAACUAAGAUAAUCUCCAAUCUCUUCUUCCCCAGCAAUUGGAAAUUCGUAAAUUCUUGUUUCGAAUCCUGUUGAAGAUAUCAGGGAACAGAGAUCUAAGGGGGGCGUUUCCUACCCAGCAAUCUGUCCAAAAUUGCAUGUUUUUGCCGUCUCUCAAAGCAUGAGUUAAACCACAUCUGAAGCUGUCCCAACAACGUAGGAUGCUUCUCCACCAGUGGGAAUAAGGCUUGAACCUGCUACCUUCCUUGAGGGGCAUUCUCCUGCUGUAAUAUAGGGCUCUAAUUAAUUUUGUCCAACGUGUAUCAUGCUCUGUAAACAAUCUCCACCACCACUUCAUUAAGAGUGCCAUAUUCAUUGCCUCCAUGUCUUUGAUCCCAACUCCUCCUUUUUUACUCUCGCAUACGCUUUUCCAAUUCACCAAGCAAAUUCUGUUGGCUUAAAUGGGCCAGCAUCCUGCCCUGUGGCAGGAGGCCAUGUGGGCCGAGUCAUGUUCGAAAUGGCAUGAGGCUGGGUUGGGCCGAGUCAUGUUCGAAGUUGCGUGAGACCAGGUAGGCCGAGUCACAAUCGAGACCCGUGGGCGCUGUUUCUGUACGCUUUAAAUGAAUUGGUUGCGUAUUUCUAACAGCUCGAGCUUUUGGGAUUAAUGGUUAGCGCCAACGAUCCGACAAAUUCUACCGCCAGUGCUAGGGCAUCCUUUUCAAAAGAAGGAUCUCCGAAGAGCUUCAAUGCGACUAAGGACCCAUUUUGGUGCUUUAAAAAUAGAGAAAAAGUACAAAGGUAUAUUAGAGAGGACUGAAUUUGUAAAAGUAAGUCUGCCUCCUUGAGAUAAAAGUUUGGAUUGCCAUCCUUGAAUUCGUAUCUCUAAUUUAUUGAAAAUCUUUAUCCAGUCCUCUUUUGUCAAGCACCUGUUAGAGAGCGGGAGCCCUAAAUAGCGAGUAGGAAGAGUUCCAACUUUGCAGUUUAAGAUGGAUGCUAAAUGCACAUCUUUGUGCUGCUUUCAUAAUCAGAAUUAUCAAACAUUAUCUAAAGAGUAUAAAAAAAAAUUUUAUCAAAAAUUCGAGCAAUUUGGAUUGUUCUACACCGCUAAACAAGCAAACGACUUGAUAUAUAGACUGUCAAAAAAUUAUUGAUUUUACGAUAUUUUGAUCAUCAUGUAAAUAAUUUUUAAAAUUUAUACAGUUCAUUCCAUGGCCGUCGACUUUGCCAAAACAGGAGCUCCGGCCGAUAUGCCCAGGGUUUUGAAACCUAAAGAGUACCCUGAUUUUAUGGGUGGGAUCGGCCCAUGUACAAAUUGUUGGCUUAAAUGGGCCAGCAUCCUGCCCUGUGGCGGGAAGCUAUGUUGGGCCGAGUCAUGUUCGAAAUGGCGUGAGACUGAAUGCACCGAGUCAUAUUCGAAGUGGUGUGAGGCUGGGUGGGCUGGGUGGGCUGAGUCGCAAUCGAGAUCCACGGGCGCUACAUCUGUACGCUUUAAGUGAAUUAGUUGUAUAUUUCUAAUAGCUCGAGCUUUUGGGAUUAAUGGUUAGCAUCAGCGAUCCGGCACAAAUCAAUCGGCGUUCUGGGAAAGCUCUAUAGAGCAGUCUCCACCCAUAUCGAAGAAACCCUAAGUUUCGAUACCAACUUUGCAAACUCAAUUCCUGAAGCUGCUUAUGACCGUGAUCUCGAAGUUGAAGGGUUUGAGGCUUUUCUGGAAGCUGCUCAAGAGUUCUAUGAUCAGUAUUCCGAGAAGCUGAGCUCCCUGAUGAAUUACUACGGUGCGGAGUAUGAAGAUGAGAUAUUAACAGGAAACUUGCGGAACCGAUCCCUGUAUUUGGUGAAGGAUAGGAACAGAUAUGGGGAAAUGAAGGACCGGAUUUUAGUCGUUGGUAAAGGCUUGAUACAAGAGGUCGGCCGGGUGGUUAACAGCAGCUGUGCAGACAGACGUCGCUAAAGAUGCAUCGGCGUGGUACCAUGUGACUUAUCAUCAAAUUACAGUCCGAAAAAUAGAAUUCUUGAGCUUUCCUUGGACUAUUAGUGAUGCUCUUCUUAGUCAUAAAAUCAUCGAAGCACCAGAGAAAGCUCAUAAGAGGAGGCAAUUGUAAUGCUGAUGUUAACUAGGGAACUAUAUAGCUCUUGUUGCGAAAACAAGUGCUUUUAUUUUGUAAAUUCUGUGGUAGCUGACAUGUAAAUUUUUGUUCAUGAUCCUUUUAAAAGUGAUGUAGCACUAUUUUUAUGUUAGUGCCAAAGGUGUUAGAUUUGGACUUAUGAAAAAUCCGUCUCACUAUCAUCCUAUUGUAACUUUCUAAGUAAUUCUCUGUAUGGUUAAAAUGAAGCAAAUAAGUUGCAAAACUUUGUGUGGGUGCUCGCGAUCUCUUACAUCUUAAUGAACUCCACAGAUCGCUGCAAUGUUGUUCCAUCGGAUGUUUUCUUAUUCCGUUAUUGAGCAGUAAAAUAGCAGCCAAAAUCAUCAAUAUGUCGAAAAAAGGUUCAACUCUUCACUUUUAAAAUUUAUCUGCCACUACACUUGGCAGAGUUCAUAUAAGAUUGUCAUAUCGUAAGGGAUUGUUUGAUCCUCUUACUUUUGUGUACCACCUUUGUAGAGAUACGUUUGUACAAGAUACUCAUUUGUGCAUCCAAUCAGCCCCUUUAAGCUACACAAGAUAAUCAAAUUUUCUUUUUCUUUUUCCUUUUUUUUAAAAAAAAAAGGAGUACAAGAAAUAUCUGAACGCAUCUUUUUGAAGAAUUAAUAGUAUAUAUUAAUAUUAAUGUCUUCUACAGAACAUCAAUCGUGAUGAUACAUUCUGCUCAAACAAAUAACAGCAGUUGCCACACUUCACUGCUAACUUAAUCACCCCACUACUUAAAUAAUCACCAUUACAAGUUACAAAUACCUCAACUUCUCCUCCUAAGCAUUCAACUGAGUAGGAAUCACAAGCUAUGAAUCUUCACCCUACACCAUGUAAUCAUACCCACUCGGAUGAUAUUCAUACUGCGGAACUUUCAGCUCGCCGUUCCGGCCCCUGCAGUUCUCCUCAGGAAGGCGUAAGUAGUUUAUGAUGAGCUUCUUGAUGAAAAUUGACUCCUCGUGUGCCCGCACCGCCCCGUGCGCCAGUAAGUAAUGUAACCUGACUCUGUUGCUUCCCUCAGCGGCUGACAAACUCGACUCCAAUCCGAUCCUCCUCUGAGGACGGCAUCGCGCUUGACGGUAGCAGAGAGAGCGCGUCUCUGCGCUCGUCCUCCGGUUGUUCGUCACUCCUAUCCGAUCCGGCUGACAACAGUGGCGCUGCCGAUCCCAGCCCAGCUUCAAUCCCAGUCCUGAUCCAGGACACUGACCACAGCCCGUAUAUCGCCCCUUCUUCCCGCGUCAGAAUCCGUGUUGGCACGCUGCGGGCUGAACUCCAGUGCGAGCUCCCUGAGCUCCUUCUCAGGAACUUCUCGAGCUCUCGAUCAGCAGCUGCUCAACGCAUGUGGUCCUCCUUGCGGCGUGUCCUUGUACCCGUACCGUGCCACGCAACGAAACAUGUGGAAGUCCUUUGGCAAACCCUACGAAAGAGAAACCUCCUCUGCCGAGGAAGGACGGGCACGUACUUUAUGCACACGAAACACACUGUGUAGAUGAUCGCUGCAGCGUGAGCAAGAAUUGCCAAAUAAUCGAAGGAAUGCCCUGUACAAUUUCAUUGUAGCCAGGAGGCCAAUCCAGGACGCGUACUGUCGAAGGAAUGAGCCAAGAUCGGCGGAUGAAAUCCAUGAGAUCUAUUUCGCGCAUCUCGCUCUGGAUUUAAGGACACUCCCGUUAGUUCCAUGUAAUCAAUCACACAGAGGAAAACGAGGAGAAGGCAAGGGGAAGCCACCACCCGCCUUCUUUGAUCUUGGAGAGACGGCAGAGAGGUAGAUGAGCUCAACAGUGCCGAAUAUGGCGGGAAGCAGAGGGCGAGGAAGAGGUUGGUUUGCCAUAUAGAGGACAUCACGAGUGUUACUAAGAGGUGCUCACCAACAUCACUCCAACCUCAGCGAUGCCUGGACGAAGGAAUUAGCAGAAAAGGUUGAAAUGUAGAAAGUACAGUAAUCUGGAUGAAAAAUGUAGCAUACUGUGAGGGUAUAAAUUCAAAAACAGCCUGAAAGGACAAUCAUUUUGCGGACAGAGUACUAACGCAUAUAACGCAUUAGCUAUGUCGGUUGUGUUUCUAAAAGGCCACAACAACCACGCACAUGAUCUAAGAAACCAGUUGAUGACCAGGAAUAUAGAUCUGGCCAUGAACCUUUCGAGAUGUGACAUCGUUAACCCUAGGGAAGCAACCAAGGGCCAUCGAUUGCUUAAUGCAGGAGAAGGUCGCUGAUAUCAUGCCUGGCUAGCUAUAUCAUCCAGCAGAAGUCCCGAUUCCAAAGACUGCCAGAAGAGAACACUGCUCUACCAAGUUAAUAGGCGAUAAAAUGAAAGGAACCGAUUGCUUAUUAUUACCCAUAACAGUAUGUGAAUGAACAGAAAGAAGUGAAAAAAAAGAGAAAAGCAUAGACUUGCCUGCACUAUAACACAUUUUGAAAAUGGGCACCUGAACUAAGUGUGUUUUGAUUUUACUACCUUAGCCUUCUCAUUAACCGGAUUCAACAUAUGAUUCAACAUAUUCUGUUAAGUUUGUCAGACCUUAACAGUUUGCAUCAAAAAAGUUAUAGAAUAUUCCAUAAGUAACAGAACAUUUUGUCAAUUAAGAAAUACCAGUGGAGAGGUAGUAAAAUCAAAAUAACAAUAUAGGUUAGGUAGUAACAAAAUUUAAGACAAUCCAGGUAUCCAUCUCAAAGCGUGCUAUAAAUCAGUAGGUCCUGAAACUAAUUAAACACUCGAAAUGAAAACUCACCUGUACGGAGUCUAGAAACUCUCUCUACUGAGAGUGAUGUUUCAUUACGUAUGCAGCUUGGCCCAUGUAGGCAAGAAGAAGACAGGGAAAUACACACAUUGAAAAGCAAUCUGAUAGUGAGUAAAAACAAAACAAAAAGCAAAUUAGAACGAAUUUUGAACCGGAGCAGAAUCAAUGAGCACAAGAUUCCAGGAUUGUAGUAAUACCAAAAAGAUGAGCAAGAAAGAAAAUAAGUCAAGAGAUAAAAUUAACCUGUAUAAGAUUUCACAGAGAAAUGACCGGGUCGGCAAACAUUGCUUCAGCUCCUAUAAAAGAAAAGGACAAGCAAGAUUGUUUGUAAAAGCAUUGAAUGCUGUUUCUCUGUAAAAAAAAAAGAGAAAUUACACAGAAACUUUCAGAUAAAGCAAUAACAACAGUAAUGUACGUGAGGAGGCAGGUAAAGCCUGUGAUGCACAAACACAGCCACCGAGAGCCGACCACAAGCUUUCAUGCUAUUCUCUUGAAAAAGAAAUAAAUAUAUGCUGGAUUGAAAUGCCUCAGACAGAAUUGUCGUACUUGAUUAUGUUUUAUGCCCAACCAGAAGGCCAAAUUGAAGAACCAAAGUGCUAAGAUAGGUGCAAACAGGAAGCCAACUUUGCCGGUCCAAACCUCUGUAUGCUGAACAGUAGCACAAGACGACAAUGGAAACAAGCACCUACGGCAUCUGCAAAAGGAAUCAUGUAAAUUUUUAGCUAAAUAGUGAAGAUAGUUUGCUGUAUUGACAUCAGAAGUUAAUUCUGUAAUUUGCAUGUUAACGUGUAGCAGUCGCCAAAUGCAAGACGCAAACAAGCUAAAAAAGAACGCUGUGUCAAAUCUGGAACUUCACCCUGAAGACCCACUCACUGCAGACAAUUACUGCAUGUAAAGGGAAAAAUAACAGACAACAACAUGAGAUAAAUACAGCUUUGGAGGGAAAGAAAAAAAGAAAUUAAUAUAGAGCAGGAUAAUAGAGGGAGAUACGAGUGUUAGAAUACUCGACAUGCUGGAGUCAGAAUGCCAUCUCCAAUAAUCAUUGAAGUACCCAUCAGAACCAAUAGCCAAAGAAGAUUUUGCAAAUUUGUCCUUUUCUCUAAGCAUUCUUUUUAUUUUUAAGAGCUCUUCCAGUUCGCGAGUUGGCAACUUAAGCUGAAAUCUGGAGAUGCCUUCAUCAGCACGCUGCUGAUUCGGAAGUAGACUAACUUUUGCAUACCUGCAAAUCAAUGAAUAUAGGCAAAAGUGCCGCCCAUGCACUCACAGACAUCGAACUUCAGGCUAAGCUAUAAGAUUGUAUAAAUGAAAGAAUUAUAACUAAUAAUACAUAUUCCACAAAAUUAUUUAUCUAUCAAAAUAUCUGAAUUUUCAAUGUAUACCCUUAUAAAUUUUCUUACAGAAAUACCAUUGAACUUGGUGCUUAAUUCCCUCCUGAAGUCAGCUGAUGCCACCUCAUGACUUAAGGGCAUUUUUGUAAAAAAGGUCCUUCUUAAGGGCAGCAUAUGAAAACUCAGAUCUUAUGGGACCACAGAUAAAUUGAUGAUUUUGUAAGGUAAGUAUGUAAUGAGCCCAAAGAAUUACAAACUAGCCUUGUAUGAUUAGUACUUUCGCAUUGUCAUUUGCUUUCAGCACUAGAAAAACGUAUUUCGCAAAGAGAACAAUUGCGAUCGUGUACAUGACUAAUGAUAGAGCCCCCAAGACAUCAUCUUCUGAUUUUAUUGGAACUUGGCUGAAUAUAAUCACUGAAACGUAUAAGGACUCGUCCGCAAUGUCACCAUAAACAACGCCAAGCGUUUGAAAUGCCAUUGCAAAGCGUAACUCCAAAUGGCUAGAUCCUAUGAGAUCACAGUUGAAAUGAAGAAUCAGUCUCCAUGGUUAUGACCAACAAUUGAUAGGUUUAUAUUACCUUUCUCGAUUAAUCAUAUCUUUAAUUUCGUAGUAUCUGUAACAAUUAGUCCUACUAAUUCAUACAUAUAACGAAGCAGGUUUUGUUAAAUUUUGAAAUUCUGGGGCUGAAAUUGAAAUUGGGAUCAAAUUUCCGGAACUCACAUAGUUAAAACUGAAACUCUUGAGGUCGAAACUAAACUCACAUCAAACGAUGAAAUUAGUGUAAAUAUUACAAAAGAGCAGAUAUUAAAGUAUUGUAACUUUACAUCCAUAAUAAACUAAAUAUAUCAAAUGAAUCUACAAAAACCCACUAGAUUAAGAACAGAAGGGAUCUGAAUCUUUUGUAGAGCUAAGUAACGAAAGCUAUGUAAAAGAUGGCGAUUUCCACGCAAUACCAAUACGACACUGAUUUCGACAGCAAAAGCGUUUACCUGCGCGACCAUGGCCGUAGAGUCGCGAUCCCGCAUCGCCUCCACGUCCACGAGUCCCACCUUUUCGGCUUCUUCACGAGCCGCCUCCUCAUGUGACGGCCGACCCCCCGAACCCCGCAAAACCCUCGAACCUUCCUCUCCACCGGCGCCUCCGCCCGCUCGCCCUCGCCCUCGCGCCUCACGCCCUGCGCCUUCGAUCGACCACGGUGGCGAUCCCGACGAGUCACCUCGCCGCCGUCACACUCAUCGUCGCCCGCCCCCCCGCCCCCCUCCGCCGCCGCCGCGCCGCCGCCACCGCCGAGGGGGGCUCCUCGAUUUCGCCUCCUCCCAUCUCCGGCCGCCCUUCCCCUUCGAGACGGAGCUUCCGCUAAGGGGUAAGGGAUCUGUGAGCUCGGGUUUUAGCCUUGGAGGAGAUGGGGUUCGGGUUGGGGGAGUAGGGUUCUAUACGAAGACGAUCGGACGAUAGCGCCGAUUAAUCGGCGAGAAGAAGAAAAGAAGAAAGAAAGAAGAAGAAGAAGAAGAGAUAUUUUUUUUCAAAAAAAAAUCCUUUUCAUACCGGCGCUUGUGCACUUUUUCUUCGCAACGUAGUAUGUAGACUAUGACGAAAUUAUUGCCUGCUCUGGUCUAACUUUGUAAUCCAUAGACCGACAUUUUCUCACUUUCUAUUUAUCUCUACCUUUCUAAUUUCCUUCAAUAAUAGCUUUAGAUUUUAAACAAAAUUCAAAAUAGUUAUUUAAACCUUAAAAAAUAUUAUUUUACUGUACAUAUAACAAAUAUUAAUUUAGAUUUAUUUAUAUUAAAUGCUCAAUAUACUUUUAAAAAAAUUUACGGCAUAAUAUUUAUAGCAAAUAAAAUAUUUUCUUAUCAUCUGAAGAAUAUUUCAUAUGUUUUCAUUACAAGAUUAUAACUUUUAAAGAAAAGGCAAAAUAUAACUAACAAUUUAAAUAGCUUCGUAUGGUUAAUCUGCAUGAAAUAAACACUAACUAACAAUUCCCUUGUUUUGAAAUUUUAAAAAUUAUUUUCACUCGUAUAAAAAUAGCAUCCAUGCAGGUGGUCUACGAUGAUGUCGUGGACGCCAGUCCAGCUAAUUGAUUUCCCGCUAUGAAGGGAUUUGUUAUGAUAUGUCACGGCCAUUCACCGACAUGUGGAGGCCCACGUUGUGGGACCCAGUGUCAGUGUAAGAAGAGUGAUAUAUCACCGUUACACCGAGAAUCACCUCCUUCUCCUCCUCCCUUUGACUCUCUGCGUGUGCGGCGUGUUCUGUCACGUUGUUCGAUUUGAUAUGUGUGUUGAUUGCACACAAUUAUUGAGGCACGAGGUGUUAUUACCGAAAUUAUUUCACAGCAUAUAAUUUCGUGCCACGUGUCCUUUUCAAGUUUGACUUAAACUAUACCCCACGUGGCGAUUAAUGUGUGAUUUAGCUAUAAGUGGAUCAAUUAAGAAGGCCUAAACCUAAACCGUAAUCCAUGCGAUGUACGAAAUGAUAAUUAUGAAAAAAAAAAAGAAAAUUGCCGACAAAAGAAGAGAAAACAAUGGUGGAAAAAGCGACGAUAAGAAACAUGAUUCAUCUUGCGAUGAAGGAAGGUAUCAUCGACGGAAGUAAAAAAUGAACAGUUUACCUAAUGCAGAGGUGUGACCACCGAUUUCGUUCAAGCCCAAAAAAAGGAAAAACUAAUUUGGUUCAAACAAAAAAAAGGAAAACAUGUGGAGAUGAGCCGAUUCAGAAGAGCCUACACUCAUAAUAAUUAAGUUCGGUUCAAGCAAAAAAAAGAAAAAUUCGAUUCAGUUCAACGAGAAAAAAGAAAAAAUAUUCGGAGAGACUUGAAACGUUUCAAGGUGGAACCAUACACCCAACAAUCGAAGGAAACGUUUGUCAUGUGACAAAUUAGGGAGAAUAAUUAUAUCGGUAUACGAAGAUUGCAUUGUGUACAAGAUUAAUUAGAAAAUUACAUGACUAUUCCUAACAAAAAUUUUAAAUAUGAACGCUUAUCACUUAUCAAUUAUUCAAUCUCAAAUAUCUCGCUAAUAAAUGCGUGAUUUUUUUUUUUGAGAUUAUUAUCAAAACAUAUUCUACUCUAUUUUCUUAUUUUUUCAGUCUCCUUAACCAUGCAAAUUAUGGAGUCUAUCUAUGAGCUAACAGCAUGUUGUUCUACUGAAUCUCUCACAUGAAAGAAGCCUUCACAUCAUAAACACCUGGCGCAUAUAUUUUGGAGGAAAACGACGAAUUUAAGAUGGGACGUGAGAGUUGUUCGAAGUUCUUGAUCUGUCGCGCGCAGAUCCGACUUCUUAUACAGAGUGGAAGUUUAACUUCUGUCACUUAUCAAGAUAAAGUUGAGAUUGGACAUUUCGCCAAAACUCGCAAUCUCCAGCGUCUAGCGAUGUAUGAUAUAUUUUUAUUUUUUCUGCUAAUUUAUAGGCUCCAACUAUUGAGAUCGUCCAAACUUUUUGCUAUUUGCAAUAUAUAUAUGUAGAGUUGAGCUGGAAUGCUAUCGUAGCAAACGGGCUCCGUUGCCAAUCCAUUUUUUUUCGAUGAUGGAGCCUCUAAAUCGACGAUCGGCACCCGUUGAAAAUGAUCUAUACCACUUAAGUAUCUAGAAAUCAAUUUCAUACUUUUCGAAUAUUUUGUUUUUGUCCAUCAGUGGGCGUAAAAAUGAAUGGCUGAAAAUGAAUAUCUUCUAAAAAGUGAUGAUAGAAAUUUUGUAAUCAUGAUCGAGAGUAUAGAUCUGUUCUAAAUAGUUAAAGAAUUUUCUAACAAAAUUACAUUGAUUUGAAUAGCUUACACCGUUAAACAAGAAGACCUCUCAUAUCAACCAUUAAAAUUACUAAUUUUGAACCCUUUGAUCACUAGGUAAAUGAUGU